rnacentral:tRNA from 1 species
UGUUCGGCGCGCUGCCGGGGAGCUUCGGGCCGCUGGUGGCGGUCUCGGCGGGCAUCUCGCUCGCCGUCGGCCUGGUCGUGGCGGGCCUGGUCAA